rnacentral:lncRNA from 1 species
UUGGCAGAUGGAUCAAAACUAGAGUUGAAAAAAAAAAAAAAUAAAUGCUGAAUGUACUAAUUUUUUUUACUACAGGGUUGAAAAGUAAUGGGGGUCAGUAUAGGAAUUCAGUGCGAAUCUACAUUGUUUGUAAACAAGGCCAUGUGAAGGCCCAAAAAUGCCGCAUGACCCUAUGUUUUUAUUAGUGCAAAAGAUAGGGCUACAUUUGUACUUUCAUGAAUGUUAUAUGAAAGUUUCCAAUUUCUAAAGGUAAAUCAGGUAUAAAUUUAAUUCCAUACAUAGAUAAGCAUUAAAGUCAAUGGGAGAUUUUUUUACUGAAUUUACCCCUAUAGGAAGAUGCGCACUCUUUCACUGUACUUGUCCAAGGCCACACAAUAAUCCACAAACUCAUUUCCUGUAAAUUUUAAUGUAAUGGAAGGAUUUUGGAACCAUUUGAAGUUGUUUUUUACACAAAUUUCUAUCUUAGCCGCGGCUAUUCAGGAUGCACUGAGUGUACUGUGAGAGGAAGCAUGGGGUAUAUGUUAAAAAUCAGUUUUUGUGUGCAGAUUGAAAGAAACAAUAGAAAUGACACUUUAGAGUUAUGAUAUCAAUGAAAGGCACAAAUAUCCUCCCCAUUUACAUCACAUUUUGCACAUAUUUCUCC